rnacentral:rRNA from 1 species
UACGGGGGGGGUAAGCGUUGUUCGGAAUUACUGGGCGUAAAGGGCUCGUAGGCGGCCUACUAAGUCAGACGUGAAAUCCCUCAGCUUAACUGGGGAACUGCGUCUGAUACUGGAUGGCUUGGAUUCGGGAGAGGAAUGCGGAAUUCCAGGUGUAGCGGUGAAAUGCGUAGAUAUCUGGAGGAACACCGGUGGCGAAGGCGGCAUUCUGGACCGACAUUGACGCUGAGGAGCGAAAGCCAGGGGAGCAAACGGG